rnacentral:rRNA from 1 species
UCUGGUGAUUAUAGCUAGAAGGUAACACCCGUUCCCAUGCCGAACACGACGGUUAAGCUUCUAAGCGCUGAUGGUACUGCAAGGGUGACCUUGUGGGAGAGUAAGACGUUGCCAGGU